rnacentral:rRNA from 1 species
UACGGGGGGGGCAAGCGUUGUUCGGAAUUACUGGGCGUAAAGGGCGCGUAGGCGGCCUGCUAAGUCGGACGUGAAAUCCCUCGGCUCAACCGAGGAACUGCGUCCGAUACUGGUGGGCUUGAAUCCGGGAGAGGGAUGUGGAAUUCCAGGUGUAGCGGUGAAAUUCGUAGAUAUGGGGAGGAACACCGGUGGCGAAGGCGGCCACCUGGACGGUGACUGACGCUGAGACGCGAAAGCGUGGGGAGCAAACAGG